AGCCCUUCCUAACGCUGUUGAAUUAAUUUCUAAACAGAAAGGGGUAACUAUCCCCCUCAUAAACCCUUUGCGCCGCCUCUGGUCCUGUGCGUUACAACAAAUGCUUCAAUUUUGUGAUUCCUAUUCCUUAAGUUUCAAUAGCGGAGAAGUCGGCCUUGUAUUCACUUUGUGUGCCACUGAAAUUUUAGCAAUGAUUACAAUGGCAAUUUCUUAUGUUUCGCUUUACGUUAAUUUCUUGCUUUUUCAAUUUCAAAUAUCAGACGCCAUUUCGACAACUGAGUAAUUUUUGUGAAGUGAUUCUUGCUACAGCUACACUGGUUUUCUUAAACGCAGAAAACAAUAGACUGGUAUGCACACGAGCCGUUUAGCCUCCUCAAAAGAAAUCUGGAAACAUAGCUACAAAUUUACAAGCGGAUUUUUUGACCGCAUUUUUUGAACAUUUCAAAACCAUCCACACAUAGUUGCUUGAAUUGAAUUGUCUCCUUUAGGAGGCUCUUUAUUUUUAUAAACAAAAUUAUGGCGACAGUGCAAAUACUUGGCAAAAGAAGAUUUUUUUCAGGGCAUCAACCUCUCUUCUUAUCUACAGACACAUAAAAUAUGUAUGCUUUAUUUGCCUCUCUCUGUAAUGUUUGAGAUCCUAUUAACUUAUCCCUUUAAGUAUUCCUUCCUUUAUUGACAGGUAUGUUGUAUAGAUGGUAAAAAUAUGGAGGAUUGAUUCGUUCUGGAAAUGUGUAGAAAACAGAUUCUUAAUAAAGAACUCUGCACUUACAAAUAUUGCACAUAGUUUGUUUACAGAAUUUGGCAUACUUUCGAAGCAUGCUCUAAUUUGUUUGCUAAAUCGUAGUGGAAUACCAUAUGGUGUAAACAGCAGACGUAAACCUGAAAAAACAUAGAUACAUUUAAAUGCAGACGGUUCGUUUCCACAACUUCACCUUGUGCUCCAGCGUGAAUAUAUCACUGAUCGAUAUAUAUUCGAAAGUAAACAUUCAAGUUUUCAAAAUGGCAAGACAAGCUUCAUUGUUGUGUUUUUUUCUGCUUGCUGUUGCAACGUCUUGCUAUGCACAGCAAAUGCCAGGAGGAAUCGUGGAAAUGACAAAAGAUGAGAUUGAAAAAGAUGACAUUCUCCAAGAAGGAGUGACUUUUGCAGUGACAGAAUACAAUUUGAAAACCAACUCAAGACUCAUUGCUACCAAAAUUUUGCAAGCUACAAGGCAAGUCGUUGCUGGUAUUAAAUAUGCAGCUCUUGUUGAGAUGCGACCACGGCUUUGCGUGCACGAUCCCAGUCUCAAGAUUGCUCCAUGUCCACCAGAAUUAAACUACCCUACCAAAUGCAUUUUUGAAAUUCUACAUCAAGCCUGGAAGCCUUCAAAAUACGCUCUUCUGUCUACAAGAUGCUUGAGAGGAUAAUGUUCUUAAUCAAACAAUAUCUCUAAUCGUAAUUACUUGACAAUUUUAAUACAAAAAUAUCUCUAAUCGUAAUUACUUGACAAUUGAAAAAGAAUAAUACAAAGUAA